rnacentral:misc_RNA from 1 species
GCUUUACAAAGGCAGCAGCAGAUCCUAAAUGGCGUGAGGCCAUGGACGAUGAAGUAACAGCCUUAGUUCAAAAUAGAACAUGGGAACUUUUUCCUAGAAGUGAUGCUCACAAUAUAAUUGGGUGCAAGUGGGUAUAUCAAUUCAAACAAAAAUCUGAUGGCACUAUUGAUUGAUUUAUAGCUCGUUUAGUAGUAAAGGGCUUCCAUCAAUGCCCUGGCCUGGAUUUUUAUGAGACAUUCUCACCAGUUAUUAAACCCAUUACUAUUUGAGUGAUUCUUUCUUUAGCUGUGUCCUGGGGUUGGACAAUCAAGCAACUUGAUGUAUCAAAUGCAUUCUUACAAGGAGAUAUUGAUGCUACAGUUUUCAUGGAACAACCG